UUUUAUCUUUCUUAAAGGUACAGUGAUUAAAAAACAAACUCGGCUCACUGAAAUGCUGCUGAGAACAGUCUUGGACAGUCCAGGCACCGUCUCCAAACGACCGACCUCCUGCUCUCUCUCUCUCUCCCUCCCCCUCCAUACUUUCCCUAGAGUUCUAUAUAGGGGUGAACCCUAAACCUCCCCUUUCCUCAGAUAAUCUCUCCAACAUUGUCCUGUACAGGACAGAGGUAGAAC